rnacentral:rRNA from 1 species
AUGGUGGUCCCCAAGUCUAUGGGGGGCAUGGGAUUUCGGGACAUGAGAGCAUUCAACCAGGCCUUGCUGGCUAAGCAGGCUUGGCGAUUAUUGGAUUGCCCAAAUAGCCUGUGUGCAAGACUGCUCAGAGCAAAAUAUUAUCCCCAUGGUAAUCUGUUGGAUACGGUGUUUCCAACCAGCUCAUCCGCAGAGUGGAAGGGGAUUGUACAUGGUCUUGAGCUGGUAAAGAAAGGCAUUAUUUGA